rnacentral:rRNA from 1 species
GACGAACGCUGGCGGCGUGCUUAACACAUGCAAGUCGAACGGAAAGGCCCUGCUUUUGUGGGGUGCUCGAGUGGCGAACGGGUGAGUAACACGUGAGUAACCUGCCCUUGACUUUGGGAUAACUUCAGGAAACUGGGGCUAAUAACGGAUAGGAGCUCCUGCUGCAUGGUGGGGGUUGGAAAGUUUCGGCGGUUGGGGAUGGACUCGCGGCUUAUCAGCUUGUUGGUGGGGGAGUGGCUUACCAAGGCUUUGAGGGGUAGCCGGCCUGAGAGGGUGACCGGCGACAUGGGGACUGAGAUACGGCCCAGACUCCUACGGGAGGCAGCAGUGGGGAAUAUUGCACAAUGGGCGGACGCCUGAUGAAGAAACGCCGCGUGCGGGAUGACGGCCUUCGGGUUGUAAACCGCUUUCGCCUGUGACGAAGCGUGAGUGACGGUAAUGGGUAAAGAAGCACCGGCUAACUACGUG